rnacentral:rRNA from 1 species
AUUGAACGCUGGCGGCAUGCCUUACACAUGCAAGUCGAACGGCAGCACGGGGCAACCUGGUGGCGAGUGGCGAACGGGUGAGUAAUGCAUCGGAACGUACCUUUCAGUGGGGGAUAACGUAGCGAAAGUUACGCUAAUACCGCAUAUUCUGUGAGCAGGACAGCCGGGGAUCGCAAGACCUUGCGCUGAUUGAGCGGCUGCUGUCAGAUGAGCUAGUUGGUGAGGUAAAGGCUCACCAAGGCGACGAUCUGUAGCGGGUCUGAGAGGAUGAUCCGCCACACUGGAACUGAGACACGGUCCAGACUCCUACGGGAGGCAGCAGUGGGGAAUUUUGGACAAUGGGGGCAACCCUGAUCCAGCCAUGCCGCGUGAGUGAAGAAGGCCUUCGGGUUGUAAAGCUCUUUCGGCCGGGAAGAAAUCGCACGGGCUAAUACCCUGUGUGGAUGACGGUACCGGAAUAAGAAGCACCGGCUAACUACGUGCCAGCCGCCGCGGUAAGAC